AAACAGGAUUUUUUAAAAUCCAAUCAAUGUUCCUUGUAUUAAUUU
rfam:Homo sapiens chromosome 8, GRCh38 reference primary assembly.